AUUGGCCUCAUAGUUCUGAGGACUCGGGUUCAAUCCCAGCCCCGCUUGUGUGGAGUUUGCAUGUUCUCCCCUGUGUGGGUUUCCUUCGGGUGGGCACUCCGGUUUCCUCCCACAUCCCAAAAAACAUGCAACAUUAAUUGGACCAGUUCUAGGUGUACCGCACCUGCCUGUUUACAGCUGGGAUAGGCUCCAGCAUUCCCCGUGACCCUUGUGAGGAUAAGCUAUGUGAAAAUGUGGUUGAGUCAACGGCAAAUCCAGGUUGUUGAAAGAAUUCAGAACCAGGGGUGGACUUAUCAUUGGGCAACCUGAUGCGUCCUGGGAUUUCCAGAGGCCCCCCAAACAUCUCAUGAGAAUUCACAGAGGAACAUGGGCCAUACCCGAAACUGCUCCGGUCUUUCCAGUCUUGGGGUAUUUAUUCGGUUCCAGAAGUCGCUAAGACAGUCCUUCAUUGUACACGUCCUGUUUUGUGCUUCUU